UAGCAUUUCUGUGGCCACCUCUGAGC
rnacentral:piRNA from 1 species